rnacentral:lncRNA from 1 species
AAAAUGUCAGCAACAGUGUCAACCGGAGGUUCACAAGCGUUUUCAGGCCACGUGCCCCUAAAUUGACAGAAAUGAUAUCACGUUACCCUGUUCCUGACGUGAAUUUUGCUUUAAGAUGAGUUAUUCCAGAUGCAUGAAACCCAUGAUCAAAAUAAUCAUACAUGUGCUGGUUAUUGAGUUCUUUAUGGGUAGAAUUAUAGUGAAAAUAUAUUAUUCCCAUAUAUAUAUUGUUGCUGAGGACCCCACUUUAACAUUUAAAAUAUCAGAGUUAACAGCUGUUAAGAGAUAAUACAAGCCCAGUGCACUCACACCAUCGAUGUUUUGCUUGUUUACUGGGCGAUCAGAGUUUAACUCACAUGUGAAAACCAACACUCUAAAAACAGGUCAGUGCCUUUUUCAGUCCUUCAUGCAAGUAUUAUGCCAUAUUAACAAGGAACAAACUGAAUCUGAAACAGCUGUAAAUUCCUGGUGUGUGAAUGGAAUUAAACUGUAACAUUUGGAUCAGAAAAUGCUGGAACUUCCUCCAUUGGAUAGUAUAAAGGAGUCCACAGUAACAAUGCCAAGCCACUAGAUAAACAAAACGUGAUGCCUGUUCUCUCACAUUAAAAAGAGGGCGCGCUAAUGAGAAUAACAUCUCACUAAACUCUUGAAUCGUUCAAACGAUCACUUUUAUCUCUCUGAACUGAAAGAAUCUUAAUUGGAGCGGGCUAUGGAAACAACAGGCAGCUGCAUAUUUCCUAAUCGGCUGAUAAAUUGUUUUGAGUAGAGAAAUGGUUGAAUAGACAUGUUAAAACAUCCAAGCACAUUUAUACAUUUUCUUUUUCUGUGUGUGUGUGUGUGUGUGUGUGUGUGUGUGUGUGUGUGUGUGUGCGUGUGUCUGUGUGUCUGUUGUAGUUCUGUGUGAGUGACGUAGGAACACUGAGCACACUGAUCACCCCAGGGACCACCAGCAGCACCACUGAACCAGCAGCAGGGACUUCUGGGAGAUCCGCUGACGCAGAAAGUGCUCCAGCAGACAAGCCAGAUGUGCUGGCUCCUGCCAUCUCUGCGAGAGGAGCGGCUGUGGAGCCGGAAAGGUUUGUAUCAGUCAAACCUGAAAUCCAGGUUGCGGUGGGACAACAUAACCACGAUCCAAGAGCUCAGAGGACUUACACAGAGGAGCUGCGCAGAGAGCCCAUCACUGAAAAGAGGAGUGUCGGGGUGGAGAAGGUGCCAGCAGGCGGGAGGAUCUCCUCCCUAAACCCUGAUCACCUGAAACCCAUGAGGAAGAGGAAGAGGAAGGAAUACCUGAGUCCCUCUGAGGAAGACUCUGACAACGAAGGCACGGAUGAGAAAAUGGAUGAUUCUAAAGCAGACAGCAGACACAUCAGAGGAGGUUGGUUUUCAAAUAUGUCCUAUUGUUUGCCUCUUAUAUUGUUUUUCAUCCUUUUUCGUGCUUCUUCGCAUAUUGGUUUACCGUUCUCCUCUCCCUUCACACACGGGGGUGACACCAUACAAUGUACAGACAAGUAUUAA